rnacentral:rRNA from 1 species
ACACCCAACAGCUAGCCCUCCUACCCAAAUGCAACAACACAACAUAAAUUAACCCCUAAUACCCCAAACAACCAAGCAACAAACCAUUUUUCCCCCCAAGUAUGGGCGACAGAAAAGGGACUACCGGCGCUAUAGAAAAGUACCGCAAGGGAAAGCUGAAAGAGCAAAUGAAAUAACCCAGUUAAGUGAAGAAAAGCAGAGACUAAACCUCGUACCUUUUGCAUCAUGACCUAGCUAGUAUUUACCUGAGCAAAGCGGACUUUAGUUCAGAACCCCGAAACUAAGUGAGCUACUCCAAGACAGCCUAUUAUAGGGCACACCCGUCUCUGUGGCAAAAGAGUGGGAAGAGCUUUGAGUAGAGGCGACAGACCUACCGAACUUAGUUAUAGCUGGUUGCCUAAGAAAUGAAUAGAAGUUCAGCCUUUAGGUUUCUCUAGCCCAAGCGGACACGACCCUAGUCAGGCCACGAGAACCCCAGCCUAAAGAGUUAGUCAAAGGGGGCACAGCCCCUUUGAAACAGACACAACUUUACUAAGGAGGCAAAAGAUCAAAGGACCCAAGGUUAUAUGUUAAGGUUGGCUUGAAAGCAGCCAUCCUCUCGAGAAAGCGUUAAAGCUCAAAUACCCCCACCUCCUAUAAUCCCGACAACGACCUCUUCAACCCCUUGAACUAUUAGGCCUCUCUAUACUAAACUAUAGAAGAGAACAUGCUAACAUGAGUAAUAAGAGGGCAGGGGCCCUCUCCCAGCACCCGUGUACAUCAGAACGAACCCCCACUGAAAAUUAACGCCCCCAAACGAAGAGGGCAUUGAACACCCACCCCUAACACCAGGAAACCCAUCAGUUCAAUAAAGCAAGCGUUAACCCCACACAGGAGUGUUUAAGGAAAGACUAAAAGAAAAAGAAGGAACUCGGCAAGCACUAGCCCCGCCUGUUUACCAAAAACAUCGCCUCUUGACAACCCGAAUAUAAGAGGUCCCGCCUGCCCUGUGACCAUGUGUUUAACGGCCGCGGUAUCCUGACCGUGCGAAGGUAGCGCAAUCACUUGUUUUUUAAAUGGAGACCUGUAUGAAUGGCAUAACGAGGGCUAAACUGUCUCCUUUUUCCAGUCAAUGAAAUUGAUCUGCCCGUGCAGAAGCGGACAUACAAACAUAAGACGAGAAGACCCUAUGGAGCUUCAGACACCAGGACAGCCCACGUUUGGGAAACCUCAAUCAAGAGACUAAACCCAACAACCCCUGUCCCCUUGUCUUCGGUUGGGGCGACCGCGGGGUAGGAGAUAACCCCCGUGUGGAACAUGGACACCUCCUUCAAGACCAGGGCCACAGCCCUAGUAAGCAGAACAUCUGACCAACAAGAUCCGGCACCGCCGAUCAACGGACCAAGUUACCCUAGGGAUAACAGCGCAAUCCUCUUUUAGAGCCCGUAUCGACAAGAGGGUUUACGACCUCGAUGUUGGAUCAGGACAUCCUGAUGGUGCAGCCGUCAUUAAGGGUUCGUUUGUUCAACGAUUAAAGUCCUACGUGAUCUGAGUUCAGACCGGAGAAAUCCAGGUCAGUUUCUAUCUAUGAAAUGUUCUUUUCUAGUACGAAAGGACCGAAAAGAAGAGGCCUAUGCAGAAGCAAGCCUCCCCCCAACCUUAGGAAAUCAACUAAAAAGGGGAAAGGGGCAUACCCACCAACGCCUGAGAAAAAGGCAUG